AAAUACCUGAUUUAACACUACUUAAGGUUCCCACCCAAAAUCCAACCCCUUUCUUUUCGUCAUAGUUUCAUUAACUUAUGCCAUUGUGUUUCUCUUGAAGGAUCUAAAUUUGCUUGGUCACCAUAUGUUACGUAGGCUACUGAAUUAUUGGUUUGAUAGUUGUCCUUCCACAAAUUUUGAAUAUGCAAAUGGAAAAAUACCAAAAUAAAAAAAUAAAAAAAAAAGAAGAAGAAGAAAAAGGUGGACUCGAUUUAGGUGGGCUAAGGGAAUUUGUGUGUGGAGAGUAGUGUUUUCCAUGGUAGAGAGAGAAGGAAGGGGAAGAGGGAAGAGGGAAUGGAUUUCAAGGUGGGUGAGAUUGGUUGGAGCCGCCGGUGGCGCACAAGGGAUAGGGGAAGGUGAGAUUUUAUUUUUCAAUUUUAAUUAUUUAAAAGUUAUACAAUUUUUUUUUUAUAAUGAUACCCUUAAAAUGGAUGGAAAAUUGGAUGGUGUUAAAGUGAGAUGAAAAAAAAAUGGACAUUGAAGAACUAAGGUGACAUUUCUCUUAAAUUUUUCUUUAAGGUGACAAAUUGAAACUGAGGUAUAAGUUCAAGUGACAUUUCUACAAAAAUCCCAACUAUUCUUAUUAAAUUUUAACAAAAUAAGAAAAUAAAUCCUAAAUUUUCGGGAUAUUACAAUACUCUUGGGUAGUUGCACUAUUCUUGUUUAAAACAUGUGCCCUAUGAAAUUAGUUUAUAGAGUUUUAGAUUAAUUGGAAUAUAUGUGUAUUUUGUGUUUUCCUUGUUUUUUCUUGUUACCCUUACUUCUUUCUUUUUAUAUUUUUUUAAAUUCUCUUCGGGGUUUGCCUUGGUUAUGCUAAUGAUUUUUUGGAGCUCUUAUUUAAUUUGUGAGAGGAGGGUGUAGAGUGAUGGCAGUUUGGACACAUUUGUUGAAUGUACUUAUAAUAGCUUUUCUUUUGUAGGAUUUUGACUAGACAAACAACAAUAAGAGGCACUUAUUCUUGUUUUUGUGUGUGUGUAUUUGAAAAAAAUAUAAAGUAAUAGUGUAAACUAAAAGGGGAGGAGGGUUUCUCUCACACACACUACAAAUAUGCAAUAAGGAGUUCGAACCUAUUUGAGUCUGGUCGAAAUCUAACUGGGUCAGGCUUGAGAUCUGAUAAUUAAAUCAACAGUGAGCUCAAGUUAUGAUAGAAUGACCCCAAUCACCAUUUGAGCCCAAGUUAUAUUACAGUAGGCCUAAUCAAUAAGGCUAGCUAUAAGCCCAAAAUCAUAAAUGUGGCUGAAUAUGUAAAUCUGGCCAAACAAAUCAAUAUGGCCGAACACAUCAAUAUGGCCGCACAAAAGUGGUCGAGAGCCUAUAUGCGUAGAUACGAUCGAAUGACUAAAAGCGGUUGAAUGCAUAAAAUCAACCAAGGCUUAAAUAAGGAAAUUAUUUUCUCAUAUGUUACAAUUCAAAUAUAUAAAGAAUUAUGUAAACUUGAUGGUCAACCGAAGUUAUUGUGGGAGAGCUCAAGAAGGAAGGAAAACUUAUUCACAUUAAAUCACAUGCACGAGACAAGGGAUUGAAGACAUUUUGGAGCAAUUAUGACUUAGAUGAAAGCCAAUUGAUGACCGACCAAAUUAAGACACACCGAAGCCUCUAUAAAUAGCAAGCAUUUGGAAGAGAGAAGGAGCCCCGAGAAUACACACAACUUGUCAUCUUACAUUCUCUUCAAUUUAUAUCCUAGGAAUAGUCCAAUGUAGCUCAUAGUCUAGUUCUUAAUUUUCCGCCCUAGUUCAUGUAGAUUUCAAUUAUGCCUUUACAUUCCUAUUCUUAUUUUUCAAUUCAAGUCUUAGUUUACCCUUUAUCACUCUUAUUAUUUAGUUUACUUUUUCACCUUAAUUUACACACUGGCUUUUCAAUUAUUUAUUUUACACAAUUUACAUUAAGCACUUGUCUUUAAUUUCUUAACUUUGUGCACUUUCAUUUCUGUCAUUUACUUUAAGCACUUUACUUUCCGCACUUGUCUUUUCAAUUUUGUUUAAUUUUCGUUAUUU
rnacentral:lncRNA from 1 species